rnacentral:misc_RNA from 1 species
GAUGAAGAACGUAGCGAAAUGCGAUACUUGGUGUGAAUUGCAGAAUCCCGUGAACCAUCGAGUCUUUGAACGCAAGUUGCGCCUCAAGCCAUUAGGUUGAGGGCACGUCUGCCUGGGCGUCACAUAUCGUUGCCUGAUGCCAGUUUCCUCGUGAUGGGUGACUGGGCAGGGCGAAUGAUGGCUUCCCGUGAGCAUUGUUGCCUCAUGGUUGGUUGAAAAUUGAGUCCUUGGUAGGGAGCGCCGUGAUAGAUGGUGGUUGAGUGACGAACGAGACCCAAUCAUGUGAGACCCCUACCGAAUUUGGCCUUCAUGACCCACAUGCGUCUUUGGAACGCUCAUGACGAGACCUCAGGUCAGGCGGGGCUACCCGCUGAGUUUAAGCAUAUCAAUAAGCGGAGGA